rnacentral:rRNA from 1 species
CCCUUAGAUGUCCUGGGCCGCACGCGCGUUACACUGAUGCAUUCAACGAGCUUAUAACCUUGGCCGAGGGGCCUGGGCAAUCUUGUUAACGUGCAUCGUGAUAGGGAUAGAUUAUUGAAAUUAUUAAUCUUGAACGAGGAAUUCCUAGUAAACGCAGAUCAUCAAUCUGCAUUGAUUACGUCCCUGCCCUUUGUACACACCGCCCGUCGCUACUACCGAUUGAAUGAUUUAGUGAGGACUUCGGACUGGGACCGAUGCGGCUUUCGGGCUGCGUCGGUAUUCUGGAAAGAUGUCCAAACUGUAUCAUUUAGAGGAAGUAAAAGUCGUAACA